AUGGGUGGCCUCUCUGUUCAGCACCCGUGGGCCUUUACCUUCGGCCUCCUAGGCAACGUCAUCUCCUUCAUGACCUACCUGGCCCCACUGCCGACGUUCUACAGGAUCUACAAGAACAAGUCGACGCAGGGCUUCCAGUCCGUCCCUUACGUGGUGGCGCUCUUCAGCGCCAUGCUGUGGAUCUACUACGCGCUGCUCAAGUCCGACGAGUACCUCCUCAUCACCAUCAAUUCAGCCGGCUGCGUCAUCGAGACCAUCUACAUCGUCCUCUACCUCGCCUACGCGCACAAGCAGGCCAGGAUCUUCACCGCCAAGAUCCUCCUCCUCCUCAACGUCGGCGUCUUCGGCCUCAUCCUCCUACUCACCCUGCUUCUCACGGCGGGUGAGAGGCGCAUCGUCAUGCUCGGGUGGGUCUGCGUCGGCUUCUCGGUCAGCGUCUUCGUCGCGCCCCUCAGCGUCAUCCGUCUUGUGGUGCGCACCCGAAGCGUGGAGUUCAUGCCCUUCUCCCUCUCCCUCUCCCUCACCGCCAGCGCAGUCGUCUGGUUCCUUUACGGCCUCCUCAUCAAGGACAAAUACGUCGCCCUGCCCAACAUUCUUGGGUUCGCCUUCGGGGUUAUCCAGAUGGGGCUCUACGCCCUCUACCGCAACGCUACGCCCAGGCCGGCGCCCAAGGAGGUGGAUGCCCCCGUGUCCGACGAUGGUGCCGUCAAGGCGACCGAGCACGUCGUCAACAUCUCUAAGCUCGGCCCGGCGGCGGCCGCCGUUGAGCUGCCCACGGUGAAGGAGGGGGCGGCCAAGAAGAGCGGCGUGGCCUCCGCCAGCGACGACUCCAAGGGGACACUCGAGAAGCUUGACAAGGCAAUCCAUGUCGAGCAAGUCUAG
rnacentral:rRNA from 1 species